rnacentral:rRNA from 1 species
AAAAGAGGAGUGGCGAACGGGUGAGUAACACGUGGGUAACCUGCCCAUCAGAAGGGGAUAACACUUGGAAACAGGUGCUAAUACCGUAUAACAAUCGAAACCGCAUGGUUUUGAUUUGAAAGGCGCCUUCGGGUGUCGCUGAUGGAUGGACCCGCGGUGCAUUAGCUAGUUGGUGAGGUAACGGCUUACCAAGGCCACGAUGCAUAGCCGACCUGAGAGGGUGAUCGGCCACAUUGGGACUGAGACACGGCCCAAACUCCUACGGGAGGCAGCAGUAGGGAAUCUUCGGCAAUGGACGAAAGUCUGACCGAGCAACGCCGCGUGAGUGAAGAAGGUUUUCGGAUCGUAAAACUCUGUUGUUAGAGAAGAACAAGGAUGAGAGUAACUGUUCAUCCCUUGACGGUAUCUAACCAGAAAGCCACGGCUAACUACGUGCCAGCAGCCGCGGUAAUACGUAGGUGGCAAGCGUUGUCCGGAUUUAUUGGGCGUAAAGCGAGCGCAGGCGGUUUCUUAAGUCUGAUGUGAAAGCCCCCGGCUCAACCGGGGAGGGUCAUUGGAAACUGGGAGACUUGAGUGCAGAAGAAGAGAGUGGAAUUCCAUGUGUAGCGGUGAAAUGCGUAGAUAUAUGGAGGAACAC